UGAUGCUAUUGGUAGAAGAAACAAUGACCUGAAGUCAGGAGCAACAGAAGAGACAGCAGUCAGGGCAAGGAUUGGAGAAAAUGCACGAUGUUGACGCUUCAUGACCUGGCCAACAAACAUCAAAAGGAAGACAGGAGAAGCCCAGGAGAACACCAAGGGAAUUCCUCGAUGAGCAGUGAAGCCGUAACUCUCAGGUUCCGCGCGGUUUUCUUCUCAUCGUCCUCCAGUCUCGAACAAGCGGACCGAGGACUUGGGUACAUUAUUACACCAGCGACCAGUGAGCUCUUAUCCGUCCGUUGUAAGCCCUGGUCUUCACUUAACGCUUGAAGGAGACUUCCCAAACCCUCAUUUCAAGAAGCAGCUGGAUUGCACUGGGAAAAAAAGAAUGACUCCUGCUCCUAAAUCUUGAUGUAAAAAAACGACAAACCCUUAAAGCCGACAGGCCAUAAAAUCACUUCACUCAACCCUUCCCUUUACAGAGGAAGAGAGGAGGCACAGACAUUUUGAGUACACAGCUGGUUGACAGAGGAGCUCAGAAUAGAGACUUUUCUACUGAGUCAUGAUAAGAGCGGAAAGGAGCCUUUCGUCAAAGAGGAAGAGAAGAUGAUUAGGUUGGGGAAGCUCGUGUUAAUAAUUUAUUCUGUAUUUGUGUUGUUCGGAAUUUGAGGAUGCUUUUUGUUAAAUUAUUCAUGGUGGAAGAAGGUAAAGAAAACAUCAGAUGCCGGAGUGCAUCUGAUCUGACCCUUUGGGGAAGAUCCAUUUCCUUGGCCCAGCGUAGUGCCAUGAAAUCAGUCCAUCAAGGUUCUUUGAAUACAUCCACCGAGCACCUUCCGUAGACGUCCCGAAACACGCAGGAAAAUAAAGACAGCAUUUGCCUCAAAGGACUAUUAGACACCCUUUUGCGUAACGAGCCUGAAGAAAUGUCUGCUUCUUGAAUUAGGUGAGAAGUCUGCCAGGUGAACCCAGAAACACUGGGUUUCUGCAAGUCCCCAAAGCAGGAGUCUGUGCCUUCCUGGGUGAGAGGGACCUUAGUGCAGAUGAGGUAGAAAAUCAUUUCUGGUGACCGGACUGUUUCAAACAGCUCGGACACUUCCAUCUCAUUAACAGAGCUUACAAAAAGGUUUGAUGAACAAAGAGGGAGCGAAGCUGCGAAUUAUGGAGUGAAAGCUGGUGACCCCUUUCCUGGAACGGAAGACACAUUUCCUAGCAUAUGAGGUAAAACGAUCUGAAGGGCUAGACACAAGUUUCAUCUUCUUUUUGUUCUAAGGGCGUCAGUCAUAGAAGAUUAUGGACUCUCUUUGAGAAUAAAACAGUCAACCUCAAGUUCUGUCUGAUUUAACUUGUGUAUGUGGCCUUUCCACUACUUGGCCAAGGUUAACAACUGACCACAGGGCUGUGUGUUAGGAACAGGGACUACAAUCUUGAAAACAAGUUAUAAGUCUUUUAGGAAACAGAAAUUUUUAUAAAAGAGUGGAAAUUG
rnacentral:lncRNA from 1 species